AAAGGACGCAGUAAGAAGUUGGUAAGGAUUACCGACUUGAUAACGGAUUAUCGAAAUAGGAUUUACCACAGGAUGUGGUCGCAAGGAAAAGUCUUCAGGAUGAAGAUGCGAUGGACACUCAAAGGAUUUGAGUUAAAGGACACCUCUAGGAUGGAGAGGAAAUAAAUCGGAAUGAUUUAUUGUACCAGGAUGGUAAUAACAAAAAACCCGAUGGAUUGGGAGUUAAACCUAAAGGAAAUUAGGUCAGUCAAUUUGCAGGGAGCAAAAUUAGUUCAAGGAUAGGACUACAUGACUACUUUAAGGACGGCAUUUAUGCCGUCCUUUUCUUUAUCU
rnacentral:other from 1 species